AUGCAUAUAAAAAGAAUGAUACGAUAGGUAAAAUAUAUGAGAUUAUGAGAAAUGCGAGAGCACUACUGCCUCCUUAGAGCCCUUGAAACACAAGGGCCUGGAGGCAUGCGCUAUGCAAAACAAUUAUCGCAGUGGCAUCCUCUCGAGAGAGGAGGCGCUACGAAUUCAUGGGACUAAUAACAUGUAAGACCACAUCUCUUAGAAAACGUAGCACUAUGUCUGUAUUAAAAAGCGGUUCUGGACCAAGAAGCAUUGCAGGAUGAAGAGGAAUGUGCUGUCGGUAUGCUAAUGAAAAAUGACUUUCUCUCAGAUUCGGCUUCCCGACACUCCAGGAGGACGUGGAGUACGGUCAGCCUCUCCCCGCAUCUACCACAGGUUGGAGGCUCACUUCCGGUAUCUGUUGUCCACACAUUUCUAAGCAAGGAUCCGGGACCAGGCCUCUCUUGUAAACAAAACACAAGAACUUUUAAGAGGAUUGAUUUUAAAUCCAUUUUUCUCUGCCCACCCUGACACCUUGUUCAAACCAUGCUGUACCUGUCUCUCGCACACUGCGAGGUUACAGGAUUUGAAACCUAUCUGAAUCUCGUCCACAUAGAUGGAAUACAAAAUGGCCGGUGGUAAGGAUGCACGAAGUGUUGUCAUCUUAACAAUAAAAAGUGUGCAACUGAGCACGCCACCCUGA